UUGAAAGCUUUUGAAAAGGAAUUCAAUUACAAAGCUACCAAGGUUCCAACGAGACCCCACAUCUCCAUUCAGACCAUUAGUGGGAGUUGGAGUCGAUUUAAGAAUCAGCGAGGACCAGUGAAUGAAUUUGCAUUAAAAUGCUUUGGGCAAAUGGCCUCUUUUUGUUAUGAAAAGAAACUCUUCCUUGGUUAUUCUGAUUCUCGCUGCAACCAGAAACUCUUGGCUUUGUAAGGUUGGCCACGGUUUUGCAUAUUGCUACAGCGAGAAACCUUCUAUCAAGCUUGCUACCUUGCUUGGUUUCUGCCAUAUUUUCUACUUCUUUAACAUCACGGUUGAUCAUGGAUUUUCAACAUCAAGGGAUUAAUUAAUCAAGCUUGAAAUGAGGUUUUCUGAGUUAAAGGUGAUUGGCCCUAAGAUGAGGUGCUCCUCCUUAUCCAUUGCUCCGUAGGUUUACCAUGACAUUAAAUGUUAGCAACCGUGCCCAGAGUCACUCCGUUGACAGUCAAGGUCUAAUUAUGUGUAUAUGAAUACUUGAUACGAAAUACUAAGAUUCAUUUGUCAAGCUAUAUAUGUAUAUUAUGGUUGAUGAUGCCAUUAUGAAUGCAUAAUUGGUUUUUAUGAAUUGUUUUCAAAGGAACGAUGUUUGGACAUUACGAAUUUUGGAAUUUA